AUGGGGAGACGAGCGGCUGACCUGACCACUCCGGUUUCCGUUUUGUGCUUCCCCGCCCUGGUUGGGGUGCGCGGCUGGAAAACAACAGGAGACAAAAGUCUGCUGCAGACCUGGGGGCUUCAAUGCAGUGUCGGAGUUCAGACAUCUCCAGGGAUAAGCAAACCACUCACCCAUUUAUCUGAAAUCCUCUCAGACGACGUUAGUCAAACAUUCAACAUCACCAGGGAAACAAGAAGCACCAAUGAGAACAAGGCUAUCUUAAAACAGAAAGCUGUGGACACCAAGAUCAGAAAAGAAGUGACUUUCAGAUCACCUGGAGGUAAAGCCUCACAGGAUGUGCCCUGCUGUCACGGCAACACUGGUGGGACUUACUGCUAUGCCAGGGCAAUUAGGAGCAAUCCCAUCAUUGGAGGGACUGGGACCAGAGACAGGCCUAAAGUGAAGUCUGCUGUUCGGUAUAUCAAUGGCAGUGUGGUUGAUUCAGAGGCAAUCGGUGGAAUUAUCGAGGAAAACAAUGAAACAGAUUCAGGAGAGAGAGCAAGGCUUCAUGGAAAAGACUUGCAAGAUCAUUCUGGGAAGUCGCUGGUAUCUGUUGGACGACCUUUCGCACUGCCACAAAAAAUACACAAUGACUUUGGAGGGAGGCAGUCUGAGAUGGCCAGAGUUGCCAUUCCUGGGGUGAGUGGCCCUACUCCUGAUGCUUCUGAUGCAUUAAAGUGUCCCCUAACCUCAUUCACUAGCACUGCAAUGUACCAGGACCCUCAAAUAGAAAAAAAACUCAACACAAACUCGCAAUUUUCUUUGAAAACCAGCAACAUGUCACAGGCUACAGUCAAUCAAGAGCUAAAACUCAGUAAAACUCCUCACCCUGCAUGUCCUGUGCACUCUAAAGGGAAUCUAGCAAACCUUCCACAUGCCUCAGGUGUUCUAUCGUCCAUCCAACCAGCAAACGUCUUGCAUCCCAGAGCCAUCACAGUCACAAAAGCUACAAUAGAAAGUAGACAGGACGAUUCCGGCAUUAAAAGCUCUGCUAAACCACCAGAGGAUCAUGGGAUCUCUCGCCGAACGAGUACUACCUUGACUCCUCAGGGAACCACCUCAGCCAAACCAAAUGACCCCCAUACUUCUGCCAAGGUUCUCAAAACAACAAACUGUAACUCUAGUCAAGACCAUCAAAGUAUCAGGAUUUCUGCUAAGGUCAUUGAAAAAGAAACAACGCGUAAAGCGCAACAAAUCAACCUAAGAGCCAACAAGUGGCCUCAAAAUCAACCAAUACAAUAG
rnacentral:lncRNA from 1 species